UUGUUGCAGUUAAAACGCUCGUAGUCGGGUGUUGGGGGUGGUUGUCUGGUUGGGUGGAAACUCGUACUGGACAGCAGUCCUAUUUUGGGGGGGGAUAGAAUGAGGAUUCUGCACUCCCCGCGUUACUGUGAGGAAAUUAGAGUGUUCAAGGCAGGCAGUUGCUUGAAUACGUUAGCAUGGAAUAACGAGAUUGGGGUGGCUUGGUCUUGUUGGUUGGCAAAGCCAUGAGAUUGAUAGGGCCAGUCGGGGGCAUUAGUAUUUGGCAGUCAGAGGUGAAAUUCUUGGAUUUGCCAAAGACUAGCGGGGGCGAAAGCAUUUGCCAAGGAUGGUUUCGUUGAUCAAGAACGAAAGUUAGGGGAUCGAAGACGAUCAGAUACCGUCGUAGUCUUGACUAUAAACGAUGCCGGCAGGGGACUGGGUUGGGAGUAAAGCCCGACCCAGGACCCAGGGAGAAAUCAUAGCGUUUGGGUUCUGGGGGGAGUAUGGUCGCAAGGCAGAAACUUAAAGGAAUUGACGGAAGGGCACCACCAGGAGUGGAGCCUGCGGCUUAAUUUGACUCAACACGGGAAAACUCACCAGGUCCGGACAUGGGAAGGAUUGACAGAUUGAGAGCGCUUUCAAGAUUCUGUGG
rnacentral:rRNA from 1 species